UGGCGCACGGGUGCGUAACGCGUAACCAACCUGCCCUUGACUGGGGGAUAGCCCGCCGAAAGGCGGAUUAAUACCGCAUAAAAUAAGGUGGCGGCAUCGUCUCUUUAUUAAAGAUUUAUUGGUCAAGGAUGGGGUUGCGUAGCAUUAGCUGGUUGGCGGGGUAACGGCCCACCAAGGCGACGAUGCUUAGGGGAGCUGAGAGGCUGGUCCCCCACACGGGCACUGAGAUACGGGCCCGACUCCUACGGGAGGCAGCAGUAGGGAAUAUUGGGCAAUGGGAGCAAUCCUGACCCAGCCAUGCCGCGUGCCGGAUGAAGGCUUUCUGAGUCGUAAACGGCUUUUGCCAGGGAAGAAUAAGGGGCAUGCGUGCUCCGACGACGGUACCUGGUGAAUAAGCACCGGCUAACUCCGUGCCAGCAGCCGCGGUAAUACGGAGGGUGCAAGCGUUGUCCGGAUUUAUUGGGUUUAAAGGGUGCGUAGGCGGUUUUUUAAGUCUGGGGUGAAAGCCCGUUGCUCAACAACGGAACUGCCCUGGAAACUGGGAAGACUUGAGUACAGACGAGGUUGGCGGAAUGGAUGCUGUAGCGGUGAAAUGCAUAGAUAGCAUCCAGAACCCCGAUUGCGAAGGCAGCUGACUAGGCUGUAACUGACGCUGAGGCACGAAAGCGUGGGGAGCGAACAGGAUUAGAUACCCUGGUAGUC
rnacentral:rRNA from 1 species